UCAUGGUGAACGCCGCGUUUAAAACGUCUGAUAACCAAUCGUUUUGUGCGUGGGAGAAUGGCUCUUCAGCCUUGUCAUUCAGUGCCACCCAGUGGUCAUCUAUGCCAAUUGCUCGAGUCUGUGAUCCACAGGAUGCCAAAUUUCAACUCACCAGGCAAGGCGAUGCCUGUUUUCUAAAUGUGAAUCUCGCUUCUUGUAGAACUGAAGUGUGGUCAGAAGACUGUGAAGUCUGGCAAAGCAAUUACCUCAGCAUCGGAUCUUACUGUCUUCUUCUCCCGUCCUGUAGCAUUCCUUUGGCAUUCCUACUCCAAAAAAGAACUCUCAU
ensembl:lncRNA